rnacentral:lncRNA from 10 species
AAGACUGUUAUGAUAAUCCAUUUCCAUGGCUCUCCAAAGAAACUUUCCAGAUGAAGAGAAAUGCUCCAUGUCUGUGCUGUGCAAGAUGGGAGCUUCUGGACACCAGUGGCUACUGAGCACUCGAACUGUGGCUGGUGCAACCAAGGAACCGAAAUUUUUUUUACUUAAUUUUUAUUUUACUUAAUUUUUUUUACUUAAUUUUUAUUUUACUUUAUUCUAAUUAGCUAAAGCUUAAUUUUUAGUAGCUAGUGGCUGCCAUCAGAGUCCAGCAUACUUUAACAUUUAUAUUGUCUUAAUCUUUUCUCUUUUUUUUUCUUUAAAAUAUACACAGAGACAGUGUCUCCCUUUGUUGCCCAUUCUUGGCUUGAACUCCUGGGCUAAAGCAGUCCUCUUGCCUCAGCCUCCCAAAGAUGGGAUUACGGGUGCGAGCCACCACACUCUGCCACUUACAGUAUCUUCUUGUUUUACAUGUUUUCUCCAGAUCUUGAUCCUCAAAAUUGAAAAUCAGUUGUGAGUAUUGCAUUAUUAUGCCUGUAAAAAUUAUCCUUAACUUCACAAGCCGAACAGUAUAGAGUAAUUCCAUUCUGUUCCUUUACUGCUUUUAUUGUUAUUUCUUGAUGUUUUCUAAUUGUUUUUCUAUUUUUCUUUCUUUGGCUGCGCUGCCCAUAUUGGUUACUCCAUAAUUUCAGGGGUGGUAUCACGCUCUGUGAUUCCAUUUUCCCCUGAAUACUUUGCUUUUGGAAACUUUUCCUCUCUUACCGAGCUCCAUGCUGAUGUUUGCUGUGUGGUUCAGCUGCCUGAUUCCCAUCCAAGGAUUUCCCUUUGCAACGCUCCCAGGUUGAGUCUUCUGUUUCCCGGAUUCCACCACUUCCAUUUUUUAGUUUACUCCCUUAUUUUGCUGGGGUCCAUCAUCAAGUAACUUCCUAAGAAGGGAUCAGCAACCUACUUUCCACGGGCCGCUUUUGGCUUGCUGCCUAUUUUUGCACAGCUGGUAAGUUAUGACAGUUUUUUACAUUUUUAGGUGCUUAAAAAAAUCAAAAGAAGAAGAUUUUGUGAUGCGUGAAAAUUAUAGGCAGUUCAAAUGUUAGUGGCCCUAGAUAAAGUUUUAUUAGAGCACAGCUGCUCUUUUACAUGUUAUCUAUGGCUGCUUUGAUACCACAAUGGCAGGGUUGAGUAAUUGAACAGAGAUUGGCCCACGAAAUCUAAAAUAUUUACUAUCUGGCCUGUUCCAGAAAUAGUUUGUCAGCUCCUGGUUUAGUUGGUCAGAGUCAAAAACCCAAGUUCUCACAACGAUCCCCAUAGGACCUAACCAUAAUCAUGGGUUCCCCGGCUCCCCUCUCCAUCUCUGACCCGCUCUGCUCUGUUCCAGCCACACCUGCCCCCAUGCUGUUCCUGCGGCACCAAAAGGCUCUGGGGGUGGCAGGAUGUUUGCAUUUGGGGCUCUGUCUGCGGAUUUCUCUUCCCUUAGCUGUCUACACAGCUCACGCCUUCACUUCCUCCAGGCUGUCACUCAGAGGUCACCUUUAGAGUACACCAUCCUGAUCUGAGCAUGAGAAAAGAAGUUCCCUGAGGGCAGGACUUUAUUUGGUUCACUGCUGCGUCCUCACUGCCUAGACACAGUGCUCAAAAAUAUUUGCUGAAUGCUAUGGCUAGGCUUUGUGUCCCCACCCAAACCUCGUCUUGAAUUGUAAUCCCCAUAAUCUCCAUGUGUCAAGGGAGACACCAGGUAGAGGAAAUUGAAUCAUGGGGGUGGUUUCCCCCAUGCUGUUCUUGUGAGAGUGAGUUCUCAUGAGAUCUGAUGGUUUUAUAAGGGGCUCUUACCCCAUUACUCAGCACUUCUCUUUCCUGCCACCUUGUGAAGAAGGCGCCUUGCUUCCCUUCACCUUCCACUGUGAUUGUAAGUUUCCUGAGGCCUCCCUAGCCAUGCUGAAUUAAACCUCUUUAAUUUAUAAGAGUCAAUUAAACCUCUUUCCUUUAGAAAUUACCCAGUCUCUGGCAGUUCUUUAUGGCAGUAUGAAAAUGGACUAAUACACUGGAUGAAUGAACACAAAAUUCUAGAGUGAAAUAUAAAUCCUUCAGAACUUUGAAGGCUGUGCUCGCUGACCUUCUAACCCUUAAUGCUACUUCUGUGAAAUCUGGAGCCCUUUGAUUCCUUGUUUCUGUGAAAGUGACUUAUUUUCUGUGUUUGGGAGAUUUUAAGAUUUUCUCUUUAUUUCCGGAGUUUGGAAAUUUUGCAGUGACUUGAAAUUCUUCAUCCUAGGCACUCGAUGAGACUUUUUAAUCUAAAUAUUCUUGGACUUCAGGGGGAUCCUUUAUGUUAUUUCUUUGACUAUGUCAUCAAAUAAUAUUUCCUGAAAAUUUCACUUGAAUUUAUCACCCAACCUAUCAAAAUCUUUAUUUAACAAUUAUAUUUGCAAUAUCCAAGGGGUCUUUCUUGUUUUCAGAUUAUCUAUCUUUCUUAGCAUCCUGUUCUUUUUAAUGGAUACAAUAUCUUCAGGACUGUCUCUAAGGAUACUGAUUAGAAG